rnacentral:rRNA from 1 species
UAAUACAUGCAAGGUCGAACGGCUUUCUAUGGAAGCUUGCUUCCACUGAGAAGAUAGUGGCGAACGGGUGAGUAACACGUGGGUAACCUGCCCAUAAGAGGGGGGAUAACAUCCGGAAACGGGUGCUAAUACCGCAUAGUUUUUCUUGAUCGCAUGAUUGAGAAAGGAAAGACGGCCUUUGUGCUGUCGCUUAUGGAUGGACCCGCGGCGUAUUAGUUAGUUGGUGAGGUAAUGGCUCACCAGGACGAUGAUACGUAGCCGACCUGAGAGGGUGAUCGGCCACAUUGGGACUGAGACACGGCCCAAACUCCUACGGGAGGCAGCAGUAGGGAAUCUUCCGCAAUGGACGAAAGUCUGACGGAGCAACGCCGCGUGAGUGAAGAAAGGUUUUCGGAUCGUAAAACUCUGUUGUCAGAGAAGAACAAGUUGGAGAGUAACUGCUCCAGCCUUGACGGUAUCUGACCAGAAAGCCACGGCUAACUACGUGCCAGCCGCAGC